GACGAACCGUGCGAACGUUGUUCGGAAUCACUGGGCUUAAAGGGCGCGUAGGCGGUCUGCCAAGUCCGGGGUGAAAGCCUCCAGCUUAACUGGAGAAGUGCCUUGGAUACUGGCGGACUCGAGCGAGGCAGGGGUCGUGGGAACUUCCGGUGGAGCGGUGAAAUGCGUUGAUAUCGGAAGGAACGCCGGUGGCGAAAGCGCACGACUGGUCCUCUUCUGACGCUGAGGCGCGAAAGCCAGGGGAGCAAACGGG
rnacentral:rRNA from 1 species